rnacentral:lncRNA from 1 species
UAAUUGUCUUAAUGAGAUACAUGCGAAGCGGUCGUCGUCCCUGCUGGUGCUAAUUGAUCAAUCGGCUGUCGGCUGACAAUCAUUUUGGAAUUGAUUUCAGCCCGUACGAGUUCCUUCAACUCCAGCAGCUAGACAGUUCAAUCCAUCACCCAAAAUGUAAGUAAACAUCACAUCACAUCACUUGUAUUAAUUUACCACCCCGAUCAUGCUAUUAAUUAUUUUAUUUUAUUACUAGUUGUAGUAUAAUUUUCUUUGUCUGGGUGGAUUUGGUGUUAGUGUUCGAUCCCAAUUGCAAUAUACAUACCUAACAUAUCUUCUCUUAAGUGAGACUAAAUAGCUCUUUUUGAUUAAUUGUAUGGUAAGCAAGUAUACUAGUAUAUUCUUUUAAUUGGGUGUUAAUAAUUAAUAUAUUCGGAGUUGAGGCACGCACGCACCGUUUGAUCUUCCUGGAAUGGGAGUGCCCAGUUACUGGGUAUGGAUGGACAGGAAAGCUAGUGGUGUUACGAGGUACAGGGAGAAGAGAAAGAAUAGCAGGUUCCAAAAGGCCUCUAGAAAGGCCUUUGCAAAGUGAACGGAGAAUACUCAUCACCCGGAUGUAGAUGUGUGCUUCACAUCUCCUGCCACCAGGAGGGGCGGACCUAACCGGAGGGAAAUAAAAUACUAUAAUUCUACGAGUUUUUCGUACACUAGUAGUGACUAUUGGAGUACUUAAUUAACUUCAAGACCAUACACUUUUUACGAGUUAUGCUACUGGUGUUUCUGCGGUACCCCUCGUCCAGCCGGGCCAAUUAAUUAAUUAAUUAGCAUUUUAAUAAGGGCUUUGUUGUAACUGUGUCGUUAAAAUUUAUUUCCCUUCAACGAUACCACUAUUGAGUCCAUCUGAUCUCACAAAGAAAAAUGUCACUACUCUGAUUCUAGUUUUAUGCCUUUUCUGUUUUGGAUUGCUCCUCCCUCCUGACGGUUAAUUUAGCUCAUAUAUAGUUUCUUUUCAACUCUUUCACGAUAAUUCUUAAUAAUAAUAAUAAGGUUCUUAAUAUCCUUUUUCUUUCUUUGUUUUGGUUAGACUAGGUACAAAAUAUUAGAGAUAAGUUGGCAUAAUAAUGAAAAUAAAAAGAAGAUAAUGGGAAAUAAAAUGCAACAUAUAAUAUAUCCACUCUUUAUCUAGU